rnacentral:rRNA from 1 species
CUCUUAAUUUGAGGCUUGAAUGAACGGUUGGACAUAAGGGAGACUGUCUGCGACUAGUUAGAGUGAAUUUAACUUUUAUGUGAAAAGGCAUUAAUAAAUUAAAGGGACGAUAAGACCCUAUAAAACUUGAUAAUUUGAUAGUAUGUCUUGUGAUGUGUGGUUAAGUUGAGGCUUAGUAAUUUUAUUUUGCUGGGGCGGCAGGAAUAAAAUUUGUAACUGUUCUUUAUAUGAAAUACUGAUAUGUAGAUAUUGAUCCUAAAAUUUGGUUUAAAAGAUAAAGUUACUUUAGGGAUAACAGCGUA